CAAAAUUAAUUGUCCUUAUUCGACCGUGUAUCUCAAGGAAAGCUGUCUAGACGUUUAUUACUACAAAAAUCUAGUAGAUUUUGUGUGUGCUAUGUUAUUUCCAGCUGGCCCUGGUAGAAGGGGCAAACCCAAGAAGUGCUUAAUGUCGUCAAAGAAGAUAUGCGUGCAUAUGGUUUGACAACUAAGGAAGACGAACAACGUGCGAAGUGGAGGAGAAGAAGCAGGAAAGCAGGCCCUGGGCUCCAACGUUAAAUGUGAACUAUCAUCCUAACUGCCUCCAACCAACAAACAUUGGAACAAGUUACGAAGCAGCAUCGAAUACCCGCCUGCAAUAGUUUGCAGGAACUAACUGACGGCAAUUUGUAACCAACUUCCGUUGCACCAACUUCCGUGAAGCUACGAGUUACACAACUAUGCUAAAUUCAGGAGCAUUUUGCUCUCGCUUAAUAAAUUGCUAUACAUUUUUAGUUCGAACGGAGCUGUAUCAGAUUGUGUUGGACGUGUUUCGGGCCAAUGCCAAGACUUUUAAAGCAGAAUCAGAAUGUAUUUUGAGAAUUUUCUAUACAUACACAUCGUGUAUAGUGACGAAGCAGAGUAAAAAAGUUUAUUAUAAAGAGUUACACUAAAGCAAAGUGCAUAUGACGUGCAGUAACGAAUUUCGGGAUAACGGCUGGUGUCGCGGCGGAUGACGGCCGACGACCGCACUGCAGCAUUCGGUCGCAGCUGCAGUCGUCCAUGAAGCUCGGAAACAAGAACAAAGCCUUUAAGAAAUUGGACUGCGGCGGAAUCCGCAUCACCUCCGUUGAUAUGUCUAACUGCAAUACAGCUACACUGCAGUGAAUCGUUAGCAAUUUAUAAAAAUAGUCAAAAAUAUAAGUCGUUACUGUUUCCCUGGCACUUACCAGGCAAAAAUAUGUUAAUGGUAGUAGCAGUUAGUGGCACCCGAGGUGGCACUCACCAACACAUGUCGAAAUAUUCCAUAACAAAGCUGAUAUAUACAUAUCUGCGAGCGAGGGGAGCGCGUGCAGCGUGAGGUCGCGGCAAACUGCGCGACCAGCGCUGACGCAAACAGGACACUCCUGACCGCAGCUUUACGACUCUGCCGCCCUCGAUUAAACCGACGCGCUAGG